UAACCUGCCUUGGAGUGGGGAAUAACAGCUGGAAACAGCUGCUAAUACCGCAUGAUGCAGUUGAGUCGCAUGGCUCUGACUGCCAAAGAUUUAUCGCUCUGAGAUGGACUCGCGUCUGAUUAGCUAGUUGGUGGGGCAACGGCCCACCAAGGCGACGAUCAGUAGCCGGACUGAGAGGUUGGCCGGCCACAUUGGGACUGAGACACGGCCCAGACUCCUACGGAAGGCAGCAG
rnacentral:rRNA from 1 species